rnacentral:lncRNA from 1 species
AUGUGAUCUUGGGCAAAUAUAGGCUAUGCUUAGUUUCUACAGCCCUAAAAUGAAAAUAAUAAGGGUAUGCUCUCAUAGGGUUGUUUCAAGGAUCAAAGGAGGUAAUGUACAUAAUAUGCUAAGAACAAUGCUGGUGUACAGUGUUGGGAGCUGCCACACAGGAGUGAGCACGGACCCCUAGCCUUGAGCCAUGCAGGUGUGACACUGGUUUCCGAUGAUAGAAACAGGUGGAUCUCACCUCUGCUAGGCAAGGGAAUGAAGCUCUGGGAGUGGGUGUCACCCAGUGGGACUGGGAUACACCCCCCUGAAACCCAAUCUCUUGUCUCAUCUGGGUGGAACUUUCCCGAGUGUCUUUCUCAAUAAAAAGGGUCUCAGGCAUGCUCUCUCUCUCUUUCCAAUGGACCCUUAAGAUGGAGAGCCGUCCCUGAUUCCUGCAAGCAAAAAGUAUUUCUGUGUGUCUCAUGCUUCUUUAGCCAUUUUCUUAAGUUAUUGGUGCAGCCAGCUCUUGUGAACCCAGCUCAGGUCGCCAGCCCGGCUAGCUGGUGAUAAGACAGUAAGUAUUCUGCAAGUGUUUGCUCCUAUUGUUGGGAGGCAUUUGAUGUUUUGAUCCUCAACAUGCCCAUCUUUCUAACUUCAGAAGACUUGCAGGUGUUGUUCACGCUGCUUGUGAUGCACAUUUCCUGCUUCUCACAGUUUCCUCAUCCUAUGAGUCUCCACACAAGAUGCCCCCUCAGGAAGCCUUCCGUCCUCCCUCAAGAUACGCCAGCCUUCCCA